UCCCUGGUGGUCUAGUGGUUAGGAUUCUGCACUUCCACUGCUGCAGACUAGGUUCCAUCCCUGGUCUGGGAC
rnacentral:tRNA from 1 species